UGGCUCAGAGGUUAAAGCAUCUGCCUCCAAAGCAGGAGACCUGGGUUUGAUUCCUGG
rnacentral:tRNA from 1 species